AUGGCUUUUUGUUGUGCUGCCGGCGUGGGGGGGGACGGGGACGGGGACGGGGACGGGGACGGGGACGGGGACGGGGACAGGAGGGAGCGUGUCUGCGCGCGGGGGAGCGCGAGCGCGUUUCCUCCCGCCGGCGCCGAGCACGAGUUGCCGGCUCCGAUCGAAAGAAAAAGGAAGGAGGAAAAGUUGGGCUCCAACUCAAGUGCGAGUGGGCGAUGGGCGCGCGGGCGCGGGGCGGCUGAGCGGCGGCGGCGGCGGCGGCGGCGGCUCGGGGACGGCGGCGACCCCCGCCCCCGCCCCCGCCCCCGCCCCCGCCCCGGACCGACCACGCCGCGCUCGCCGGGAGCGGCGGCCGCACCGGCGCGAACAAAGUGCGUCCCUCCCGGCGCGGCGCGGACGGCGGCCGGGCGAGGUGGGCCGGCGGCGGGGAAAGUGCGCGGGGGCCGCCGCGUGGGGCGGGGGCGGGGGCGGGGGCGGGGGCGGGGGCGGCGCGAGCACGCGGCGCGGGGGGCGGCCGACCCCGCCGGACCCCGACCCGCGCCGGCCGCUCGGGGAGUUGCGAGCCCGGAGCCGGGGGCCCCCGGGGCUCCCCGGCGGCUCCCAAGUGCGCGAGGAGGAGAAGAAAGGGAGCGGGGCCGGGGCGAGCGCGGGGAGGCGCGGCGAGGAGGGGACCCCACCUUGCCGAGCUGGCCGGGCCGGCGGCGGCGGCGGCGGCGGCGGCGGCGGCGGCUGCAUAAUAGCGACUUUAAGCCCCCGAGGCCGCUCGGCUCACCGCCCCGGGCCGGGCCCCGCCGGGGGGUCAGCGCCGGGGGGGUCUCCUGGUGGCCCCCGAGGCGGCCCGGGUGCGCUGUGCCCCCGCAGGGAUCCGCGGCUCGGAGCGCGAACGGCCGAGGUGGCUGGAGGCCAGGCGGUCAGCGGGGAGAGGAAGGAGGGCGGCGGGGGACGCGCUGUUUGUUUGGUUCGCACCGGGGACUGGGCUCGCCGGGGGCGCGGGGCGCGGGGGCGCGGGGGCGCGGGGGCGCGGGCACCGGGGGGCUGCGGUGCGGGGCG
rnacentral:lncRNA from 1 species